rnacentral:lncRNA from 11 species
UUGGCUUAGCAGAGCACCCGUGCGCGUUGCUAGGUAGCUUGCUAUCUACCUAGCAACACACACGGGCACUUCUCUGCUCGCCGCCCUGCCUCUUGGGUGGUGCCUGUGCGCGUUGCUAGGUAGAUAGCAAGCUACCUAGCAACGUGCAUGAACGCCUCCCAAGGGGCCUGGGACGUCGGAUAAUACGGAGUGUCGGUUAACCGGAAGUCUGUUAACCGGAACUCUACUGUACUUGCUUACUGAGUAUACGCCUCAUGAUGCAUUUAUUUACUAACAAAUGAACUACCAUAGGGAAAUAAUCAGUAUGUGAAAUACUUUAGGUAAUACAUAGAGUGAAAUUGUAAUUGUGCUGUUGGGUUACUUCUGUCCCCAUCCCAGAAACCACGGAGGACUCCCAGGAAAUCAUUUCCCAAAAGUGCUUUACGGAAGAAUCCAGAGAGAAGUUCUAGGCCUCAUACCAGAUCACGAUCCCUGAUUGAAGGUCCUCCAAGCCCCAUGUCAGAUAGGCAGGAGGAAGAUCCUUACGUUUUAGUGAGAAGGAGAACAUUUGAUGACUAUUCUGAGGAUGAAAUGGAUGUUCCCAGAAGAAAACGUCACAGCGCUAUGACUCUUCCCCAUGUUAUACGUCCAGUGGAAGAAAUAACCCAGGAAGAGUUAAAUAAUAUCUGUGAAACUGCCAGUGAUAAAGUGUACAACCGUGUAGUGGUAAGGAUAUUUUUGUCCUGCAUCCAGACAUUCUGUAUUAGCAUACCUGUUUGUGUAUCAAUUUAGGUAGGUAAAAGUAAAGGUUUUCCCCUUACAUUAAGUCUAGGCGUGUCUGACUCUGGGGGUUGGUGCUCA